AUCCUCUACGAGACAGCUCGAGGUAAUUAUCUAAACUUUAUUUAGUCUGUUUGGUUGACAGCAGGAACUAGUGGAAGAAGUGAAAGCUAAAAGAAGGGGAAGGAAAUAAAUGAAACAAAAGUUUCUUGUACAUAUUAAUGUCACAGGUAGAUUGUGUUGAGUGAUAUUAAAUCUAGUGAAGCAUUGCCAUGCAAAUCUCAGUUGAGAUUGGUUCAAUGGAAGGCACUGUUAUUCUACCAGGAAGAUAUGAUUAGAAUUUGUAGAUUUGAAACUUAAUUUCUUUCCUUUUGUUGGCAUUUGUAUCUCAACUGAACUGAGGAUUAGACGUUAACUUUGCUUUUGGUAUCAUUACUUGGAUUCAAUUUGGUAGUUUAAGAAAAUAGGGAAAAGAGAUGCAAAUUUUAGUCUUAGCCUUGUGUAAGGGACUACUUCCAUUUAUUAUGUAUUAAAUACGCUUAUUUUUAUUAAUUUCGUUGCCUAUCCCCUAAGCAAGCCUGUUUCCAAAGAAGAGUGAUAUGCUAUACCUGCCAAUGUUAGUAAAUAUCCUGCUGCUGCUUACUCCAUUUAGUUUGUAAAGUCACCAAUCAAAAAAAAAAAAAAAAAAAA
rnacentral:misc_RNA from 1 species